AUUGAACGCUGGCGGCAGGCCUAACACAUGCAAGUCGAACGAGUGGCGGACGGGUGAGUAAUGUCUGGGAAACUGCCUGAUGGAGGGGGAUAACUACUGGAAACGGUAGCUAAUACCGCAUACCAUCGGAUGUGCCCAGAUGGGAUUAGCUAGUGGGUGGGGUAAAGGCUCACCUAGGCGACGAUCCCUGGCUGGUCUGAGAGGAUGACCAGCCACACUGGAACGGAGACACGGUCCAGACUCCUACGGGAGGCAGCAGUGGGGAAUAUUGCACAAUGGGCGCAAGCCUGAUGCAGCCAUGCCGCGUGUAUGAAGAAGGCCUUCGGGUUGUAAAAUACUUUCAGCGGGGAGGCGUUACCCGCAGAAGAAGCACCGGCUAACUCCGUGCCAGCAGCCGCGGUAAUAC
rnacentral:rRNA from 1 species